UAAAUACUGCCCAGGUGAAAGUCAUGC
rnacentral:piRNA from 1 species